rnacentral:rRNA from 2 species
GACGAAGGAUGCAAGCGUUAUCCGGAUUCAUUGGGUUUAAAGGGAGCGUAGGCGGCCCUGUAAGUCAGUGGUGAAAUCUUUGGGCUUAACCCAAAAAUUGCCAUUGAUACUGCAGGGCUUGAGUACAGUUGCCGUUGGCGGAAUAUGACAUGUAGUGGUGAAAUACAUAGAGAUGUCAUAGAACACCGAUUGCGAAGGCAGCUAACGAAACUGUAACUGACGCUGAGGCUCGAAAGUGCGGGGAUCAAACAGG